AACGAACGCUGGCGGCAGGCUUAACACAUGCAAGUCGAGCGCCCCGCAAGGGAGCGGCAGACGGGUGAGUAACGCGUGGGAAUCUACCCAUCUCUACGGAAUAACGCAUGGAAACGUGUGCUAAUACCGUAUACGUCCUUCGGGAGAAAGAUUUAUCGGAGAUGGAUGAGCCCGCGUUGGAUUAGCUAGUUGGUGGGGUAAAGGCCUACCAAGGCGACGAUCCAUAGCUGGUCUGAGAGGAUGAUCAGCCACACUGGGACUGAGACACGGCCCAGACUCCUACGGGAGGCAGCAGUGGGGAAUAUUGGACAAUGGGCGCAAGCCUGAUCCAGCCAUGCCGCGUGAGUGAUGAAGGCCCUAGGGUUGUAAAGCUCUUUCACCGGUGAAGAUAAUGACGGUGACCGGAGAAGAAGCCCCGGCUAACUUCGUGCCAGCAGCCACAGUAAAAC
rnacentral:rRNA from 1 species